rnacentral:siRNA from 1 species
GAACAUAAUCUUCUGGAUAUG